rnacentral:rRNA from 1 species
UACGAAGGGGGCUAGCGUUGUUCGGAAUCACUGGGCGUAAAGCGCACGUAGGCGGACUUUCAAGUCAGGGGUGAAAUCCCGGGGCUCAACCUCGGAACUGCCUUUGAUACUGUUGGUCUCGAGUCCGAUAGAGGUGGGUGGAAUUCCUAGUGUAGAGGUGAAAUUCGUAGAUAUUAGGAAGAACACCGGUGGCGAAGGCGGCCCACUGGAUCGGUACUGACGCUGAGGUGCGAAAGCGUGGGGAGCAAACAGGAUUAGAAACCCCCGUAGUCC